rnacentral:rRNA from 1 species
ACUGUGAAGCAUCCUGUUAAGCAGGCAACGAGCGAGACCCACGCCAACAGUUGCCAGCUCGGUCCUCCGGGAUGGUGGGGACACUGUUGGGACCGGCCUCUGCUAAAGAGGAGGAAGGAAUGGGGCAACGGUAGGUCAGCAUGCCCCGAAUUAUCUGGGCUACACGCGGGCUACAAUGGGUGGGACAAUGGGUAUCGACACCGAAAGGUGAAAGGCAAUCUCCUAAACCCAUCCGUAGUUCGGAUUGUGGGCUGCAACUCGCCCACAUGAAGCUGGAAUCUGUAGUAAUCGUGUCUCAAAAUGGCACGGUGAAUAUGUCCCUGCUCCUU